UACAGAGGAGCCAAGCGUUGUCCGGAUUGACUGGGCGUAAAGCGCACGCAGGCGGACGCGCGCGUGGGGUGUGAAAUCUGGCCGCUUAACGGCCAGGCGCCAUCCCAUACGGCGCGUCUGGAGCAAUGCAGAGGUCGGUGGAAUUGCCGGUGUAGUGGUGAAAUGCGUAGAGAUCGGAGAACACCGACGGCGCAGGCAGCGUCCUGGCCGCUUGACUGACACUGAGGCACGAAAGCUGGGGGGAGCGAAACAGGA
rnacentral:rRNA from 1 species